rnacentral:rRNA from 1 species
CAUGCAAGUCGAGGGGCAGCAUGAACUUAGCUUGCUAAGUUUGAUGGCGACCGGCGCACGGGUGAGUAACACGUAUCCAACCUUCCGUUUACUCAGGGAUAGCCUUUCGAAAGAAAGAUUAAUACCUGAUAGUAUGGUGAGAUUGCAUGAUAACACCAUUAAAGAUUUAUUGGUAAACGAUGGGGAUGCGUUCCAUUAGGUAGUAGGCGGGGUAACGGCCCACCUAGCCUGCGAUGGAUAGGGGUUCUGAGAGGAAGGUCCCCCACAUUGGAACUGAGACACGGUCCAAACUCCUACGGGAGGCAGCAGUGAGGAAUAUUGGUCAAUGGGCGAGAGCCUGAACCAGCCAAGUAGCGUGAAGGAUGAAGGUCCUACGGAUUGUAAACUUCUUUUAUACAGGAAUAAAGUUCCCUACGUGUAGGAUUUUGUAUGUACCGUAUGAAUAAGCAUCGGCUAACUCCGUGCCAGCAGCCGCGGUAAUACGGAGGAUGCGAGCGUUAUCCGGAUUUAUUGGGUUUAAAGGGAGCGCAGACGGGAGAUUAAGUCAGUUGUGAAAGUUUGCGGCUCAACCGUAAAAUUGCAGUUGAUACUGGUUUCCUUGAGUGCAGUUGAGGCAGGCGGAAUUCGUGGUGUAGCGGUGAAAUGCUUAGAUAUCACGAAGAACCCCGAUUGCGAAGGCAGCUUGCUAAACUGUAACUGACGUUCAUGCUCGAAA